rnacentral:rRNA from 1 species
AAAUGAAUUGACGGGGGCCCGCACAAGCGGAGGAACAUGUGGUUUAAUUCGAUGAUACGCGAGGAACCUUACCUGGGCUUAAAUGCAGAGUGCAUGCUGUGGAAACACACUUCCCUUCGGGGCUCUUUGCAAGGUGCUGCAUGGUUGUCGUCAGCUCGUGCCGUGAGGUGUCGGGUUAAGUCCCAUAACGAGCGCAACCCUUACCGUUAGUUGCCAGCAGGUUGAGCUGGGGACUCUAGCGGGACUGCCACCGUAAGGUGAGAGGAAGGUGGGGAUGACGUCAAAUCAGCACGGCCCUUAUGUCCAGGGCUACACACGUGUUACAAUGGCCGGUACAGAUGGCAGCUACCCCGCGAGGGGAUGCGAAUCUAUAAAGCCGGUCUCAGUUCGGAUUGGAGUCUGCAACCCGACUCCAUGAAGUUGGAUUCGCUAGUAAUCGCGCAUCAGCCAUGGCGCGGUGAAUACGUUCCCGGGCCUUGUACACACCGCCCGU